rnacentral:misc_RNA from 1 species
UUUCCGUAGGUGAACCUGCGGAAGGAUCAUUCAUAGUAAAGUGUUUUAUGGCACUUUUUAAAAAUCCAUAUCCACCUUGUGUGCAAUGUUAGAUCUCGUCAAUCUUGGCGAGAUUUUUAUACAUCAACUCAUUCUUUAACUAAUUUGUCUGAAAAAUAUUAUGAAUACUUAAUUCAAAAUACAACUUUCAACAACGGAUCUCUUGGCUCUC